GUUUUAAAACACUUUAACCGGUUCAUCACUUAUCAAAGGUUUGGCAUGGAAUCGAUCGCCUCUAUAUUUAAUCUCCUUCAAAGAGGCGACUUUAUGGUAAAAAUAGACUUGAAGGAUGCUUAUCUGCAUGUUCCGAUUGCUACUGCUUCAAGAAAAUUUCUAAGAUUUGCAAUAAAGAGGGGAAGAUCCUUCGACCAUUUCCAGUUCAGAGCUCU